rnacentral:rRNA from 1 species
GAGUUUGAUCCUGGCUCAGAUUGAACGCUGGCGGCAUGCCUUACACAUGCAAGUCGAACGGCAGCACGGGAGCUUGCUCCUGGUGGCGAGUGGCGAACGGGUGAGUAAUGCAUCGGAACGUAUCCUGGAGUGGGGGGAUAACGUAGCGAAAGUUACGCUAAUACCGCAUAUUCUGUGAGCAGGAAAGCGGGGGACCUUCGGGCCUCGCGCUCUUGGAGCGGCCGAUGUCGGAUUAGCUAGUUGGUGAGGUAAAGGCUCACCAAGGCGACGAUCCGUAGCGGGUCUGAGAGAAUGAUCUGCCACACUGGAACUGAGACACGGUCCAGACUCCUACGGGAGGCAGCAGUGGGGAAUUUUGGACAAUGGGGGCAACCCUGAUCCAGCCAUGCCGCGUGAGUGAAGAAGGCCUCGGUU